rnacentral:rRNA from 1 species
CUACGGUUGCUCCAGCUGAGGAAAUUUUACAAUGCACGAAAGUGUGAUAAAAUAAACCAGAGUGUUAUUCUUAGAAUAACUUUUGUUUGCUGUAAAAAGGCAGACGAAUAAGGACUGGGCAAGAACCGGUGCCAGCCGCCGCGGUAAUACCGGCGGUCCAAGUCGCAUCCACAUUUAUUGGGUCUAAAACAUCCGUAGCUUGUUUUGUAAGUUUCUUGUGAAAUCUCAUGUCUCAAGCAUGAGGCGGGCAAGAAAUACUGCAUUACUAGAGACCGGAAGACGUAAGGAGUACGAUUGAGGUAGCGGUAAAAUGUGUUAAUCUCAAUCGGACUAACAACGGCGAAGGCACCUUACGAGUACGGAUCUGACAGUGAGGGAUGAAGGCCAGGGGCGCGAAAGGGAUUAGAUACCCGCGUAGUC